rnacentral:rRNA from 1 species
CCUACGGGUGGCUGCAGUGGGGAAUUUUGGACAAUGGGGGCAACCCUGAUCCAGCCAUGCCGCGUGCGGGAAGAAGGCCUUCGGGUUGUAAACCGCUUUCGGCCGGAACGAAAUCGCCGGGGAGAAUAUCCCCGGUGGAUGACGGUACCGGAAGAAGAAGCACCGGCUAACUACGUGCCAGCAGCCGCGGUAAUACGUAGGGUGCGAGCGGGGAUCGGAAUUACUGGGGGUAGUGCGUGCGCAGAGGGUUGAAAUCCCCGGGCUUAACCUGGGAACUGCGUUUGUGACUGGCGGGCUGGAGUGCGGAAGAGGGAGGUGGAAUUCCACGUGUAGCAGUGAAAUGCGUAGAGAUGUGGAGGAACACCGAUGGCGAAGGCAGCCUCCUGGGCUAGCACUGACGCUCAUGCACGAAAGCGUGGGGAGCAAACAGGAUUAGAUACCCGAGUAGUC